rnacentral:lncRNA from 1 species
GAGACUCACCCAACUCAGGUAAAGUCCAUGAUCUUCACCACAGCAUCUGUGUUCUUGUCACUUUCUGGGACGGUGUUUCUCUCUUCUGAGUCCUCCACCCCCUCACCUGUGGUUUGGAUUGGUUGGAGUUUGACUGAGUAGUAAUGGCCACUUGGUUGGUUUCCAUGGCCUGGCGUGUGCUGUAGCUGUAGGAGAGGGCUGCCUGUGUCCAUGAGAACAAGGAAGCCUUCAGGAGAGAAAUCAGCCACUGCCACCCCCCAGUCCUUUAGGAGGCAGUCAGGCUGCUGACAAAGGGACCUCACGCUCCUCCCACGCAUUGCCUGGACCAGCUGGCAGCCCACAGGGGUGGCUUCAGGUCACUUCCUGCUGCAGAGUCCUCACUCCAGCUUUCUCACCAAUCCUCCCCCUACACAAGAAGAUCAUCUCUGGGUUCAGGUCACCCAUCCAACUCCACUGAUGGAUUUAGGCUCAUUUAAUCCAAACUCGACUCCAUUUCAGCCAGAACCAGGCACCUCUAGAAAGGUCACCCUAACUGCCACAUCCAGUUCCUGAUCUGCCAUCUGCUUCUUUUCCAUCACUUGUGGGGUAUUUCCCAGCCUACCACUAAUGUGAGCCCUCCUGAGUCAAAAGUUCCCCUCUUCCAGGCCUCCUGCUCAGCUGACGUCCUGGACCAGGCAGGCCACCCUUGUUCCACUUCCCCUGGGAAGACACCUGGGUCUUGUGCCUGCCCUGGAUUAGGGUGGGCAAAUUAGUUCAUCCAGGACUAGAAGAAUGGAAAUAAACAGACUUGUGUCUUGGGGCUGA